UACAGAGGUCUCAAGCGUUGUUCGGAUUCAUUGGGCGUAAAGGGUGCGUAGGCGGCGCGGUAAGUCGGGUGUGAAAUCUCGGAGCUUAACUCCGAAACUGCAUUCGAUACUGCCGUGCUUGAGGACUGGAGAGGAGACUGGAAUUCCCAGUGUAGCGGUGAAAUGCGUAGAUAUUGGGAGGAACACCAGUGGCGAAGGCGGCUCACUGGACCGGUUCUGACGCUGAGGCGCGAAAGCGUGGGGAGCAAACGGG
rnacentral:rRNA from 1 species